UUGGUUAAGUUAGAAAGGGCGCACGGUGGAUGCCUUGGCACUAGGAGCCGAAGAAGGACGGGACUAACACCGAUAUGCUUUGGGGAGCUGUACGUAAGCGUUGAUCCAGAGAUUUCCGAAUGGGGGAACCCACUAUCUUUAGUCGGAUAGUAUCCUUACGUGAAUACAUAGCGUGAGGAAGGCAGACCCAGGGAACUGAAACAUCUAAGUACCUGGAGGAAGAGAAAGAAAAAUCGAUUUCCUGAGUAGCGGCGAGCGAAACGGAAAGAGCCCAAACCAAGAAGCUUGCUUCUUGGGGUUGUAGGACACUCUAUACGGAGUUACAAAAGAAAGUUAUAAAUGAAGCGGUCUGGAAAGGCCCGCCAAAGACGGUAACAGCCCGGUAGUUGAAAUGGCUUUCCCUCCAGAGUGGAUCCUGAGUACGGCGGAACACGUGAAAUUCCGUCGGAAUCCGGGAGGACCAUCUCCCAAGGCUAAAUACUCCCUAGUGACCGAUAGUGAACCAGUACCGUGAGGGAAAGGUGAAAAGCACCCCGGAAGGGGAGUGAAACAGUUCCUGAAACCGUGUGCCUACAAGUAGUUAGAGCCCGUUAAUGGGUGAUAGCGUGCCUUUUGUAGAAUGAACCGGCGAGUUACGAUUUGUUGCAAGGUUAAGCGGAAAAAGCGGAGCCGUAGCGAAAGCGAGUCUGAAUAGGGCGCAUAAGUAACAGGUCGUAGACCCGAAACCAGGUGAUCUACCCAUGUCCAGGAUGAAGGUAAGGUAAUACUUACUGGAGGUCCGAACCCACGCACGUUGAAAAGUGCGGGGAUGAGGUGUGGGUAGCGGAGAAAUUCCAAUCGAACUUGGAGAUAGCUGGUUCUCUCCGAAAUAGCUUUAGGGCUAGCCUCGAGGUAAAGAGUCAUGGAGGUAGAGCACUGUUUGGACUAGGGGCCCUUCUCGGGUUACCGAAUUCAGAUAAACUCCGAAUGCCAUGUACUUAUACUCGGGAGUCAGACUGCGAGUGAUAAGAUCCGUAGUCGAAAGGGAAACAGCCCAGACCACCAGUUAAGGUCCCCAAAUAUAUGUUAAGUGGAAAAGGAUGUGGGGUUGCUUAGACAACCAGGAUGUUGGCUUAGAAGCAGCCACCAUUGAAAGAGUGCGUAAUAGCUCACUGGUCGAGUGACCCCGCGCCGAAAAUGUACCGGGGCUAAACAUAUUACCGAAACUGUGGAUGAACCUCUUUAGAGGUUCGUGGUAGGAGAGCGUUCUAAGGGCGGUGAAGUCAGACCGGAAGGACUGGUGGAGC
rnacentral:rRNA from 1 species